rnacentral:tRNA from 2 species
GCGGACGUGGCGCAAUCGGGUAGACGCGCAGCGCUAAGAACGCUGUUAUUGGAGGUUCAAGUCCUCUCGUCCGCA